GAUGAACGCUGGCGGCGUGCCUAAUACAUGCAAGUCAAGCGAACAGACGAGGAGCUUGCUCCUCUGACGUUAGCGGCGGACGGGUGAGUAACACGUGGAUAACCUACCUAUAAGACUGGGAUAACUUCGGGAAACCGGAGCUAAUACCGGAUAAUAUAUUGAACCGCAUGGUUCAAUAGUGAAAGACGGUUUUGCUGUCACUUAUAGAUGGAUCCGCGCCGCAUUAGCUAGUUGGUAAGGUAACGGCUUACCAAGGCAACGAUGCGUAGCCGACCUGAGAGGGGGGACAGGCAACCUGAAACAGGAGACAGGGCCAGAAUCCCAAGGGAGGGAGAAGAAGGGGAUUUUCCGCGAGGGGGAGAAGUAUGAGCGGGACAACGCGCAGGGAAGAAGGAGGGUCUUGGGCUGUAAAAAAUUUUUUAUAGGGCAAAAACAAAUUUAAAAUCAAUAAGGCAAGUCUUGACGGUACCAAACAAAAACGCCCCGGCAAAAUAGGUG
rnacentral:rRNA from 1 species